rnacentral:rRNA from 1 species
AGAGUUUGAUCCUGGCUCAGAAUCAACGCUGGCGGCGUGCCUAACACAUGCAAGUCGAACGAGAAAGUGGAGCAAUCCAUGAGUAAAGUGGCGACCGGGUGAGUAACACGUGACUACCUGCCCUUGAGUGGGGGAUAACCUCGGGAAACCGAGGCUAAUACCGCAUAACAUCGCAAGAUCAAAGGAGCAAUCCGCUUUUG